CACACUGGGAACAACCUGGGGACAAUUCCUGCCACCCCAGGUGGCUCCAGCCCUGUCCCUGUCCCUGUCCCUGUCCCUGUCCCUGUCCCUGUCCCUGUCCCCAUCCCUGUCCCCUGUCCCCAUCUCUGUCCCUUGUCCCCUCUCUGUCCUCCUCACUGUCCCUGUCCCUUUCUUGUCCCAUUUUCUGUCCCUGUCCCCUCCUGUCCCUGUCCCCAUCCCUGUCCCCUGUCCCCAUCUCUGUCCCUUGUCCCCUCUCCUCUGUCCUCAUCCCUGUCCCUUCUCCCUUUCUUGUCCUAUUUUCUGUCCCUGUCCCCUCUCCCCUGUCCCCGUCCCCAUCCCUGUCCCCAUCCCUCUCCCCUCUCCCCUGUCCCCUUCCCUGUCCCCAUUUCCUCUCUUUGUCCCUUGUCCCCUCCCCAUCCCUGUCCCCUUCCCUGUCCCCAUUCCCAUCCCUGUCCCAUUUUCUGUCCCUUGUCCCCUCUCCCCUGUCCCCGUCCCCAUCCCUGUCCCUUUCCCUGUCCCCAUCCCUGUCCCCAUUUCCUCUUUGUCCCUUGUCCCCAUUCCCAUCCCUGUCCCAUUCUCUGUCCCUUCCUUGUCCCAUUUUCUGUCCCCAUCCCUGUCCCCUCUCCCCUGUCCCCUUCCCUGUCCCCAUUUCGUCUUUGUCCCUUGUCUCCUCUCUCAUCCCUGUCCCCUGUCCCUUUCUUGUCCCAUUUUCUGUUCCUUGUCCUCUCUCCCCUGUCCCCAUUCCCAUCCCUGUCCCUGUCCCCAUCCCUGUCCCAUUCUCUGUCCCAUUUUCUGUCCCCUGUCCCCUCUCCCCUGUCCCUGUCCUCAUCCCUGUCCCUUCCUGUCCCCAUUCCCAUCCCCUUCCCCAUCCCUCUCCCCUCUCCCCUGUCCCCUUCCCUGUCCCCAUUUCCUCUCUUUGUCCCUUUCCCUGUCCCCAUCCCUGUCCCUUCCUGUCCCCAUUCCCAUCCCUGUCCCCAUCCGUGUCACUUGUCCCCUCUCCCCUGUCCCCGUCCCCAUCCCUGUCCCCUUCCCUGUCCCCAUUUCCUCUCUUUGUCCCUUGUCCCUUCUCCCCUGUCCCUGUCCUCAUCCCUGUCCCAUCCUGUCCCCAUUCCCAUCCCUGUCCCCAUCCCUCUCCCCUCUCCCCUGUCCCCUUCCCUGUCCCCAUUUCCUCUCUUUGUCCCUUUCCCCGUCCCCAUCCCUGUCCCAUCCUGUCCCCAUUCCCAUCCCUGUCCCAUUUUCUGUCCCUUGUCCCCUCUCCCCUGUCCCCAUCCCCAUCCCUGUCCCCAUCCCUGUCCCUUUCCCUGUCCCCAUCCCUGUCCCAUUCUCUGUCCCUUCCUUGUCCCUUUCCCUGUCCCCAUCCCUGUCCCAUCCUGUCCCCAUUCCCAUCC
rnacentral:lncRNA from 1 species